CCUACGGGUGGCAGCAGUGAGGAAUAUUGGUCAAUGGGCGUUAGCCUGAACCAGCCAAGUCGCGUGAAGGAUGACUGUCCUAUGGGUUGUAAACUUCUUUUAUAUGGGAAUAAAGUGUGGUAUGUAUCCUGUUUUGUAUGUACCUUAUGAAUAAGGAUCGGCUAACUCCGUGCCAGCAGCCGCGGUAAUACGGAGGAUCCGAGCGUUAUCCGGAUUUAUUGGGUUUAAAGGGGGCGUAGGCGGAUUGUUAAGUCAGUUGUGAAAGUUUGCGGAUCAACCAUAGAAUUGCAGUUGAUACUGGGAGGCUUGAGUAUGGUUGAGGCAGGCGGAAUGCGUGGUGUAGCGGUGAAAUGCUUAGAUAUCACGAAGAACCCCGAUUGCGAAGGCAGCCUGCCAGGCUAUGACUGACGCUGAUGCACGAAAGCGUGGGGAUCAAACAGGAUUAGAUACCCGGGUAGUC
rnacentral:rRNA from 1 species